rnacentral:RNase_P_RNA from 1 species
ACGGAUGGCUGGGUGAUCGCGGGGGCAACCUCGAGGAAAGUCCGGACUCCACAAGGCAAGGGUGCCGGGUAAUGCCCGGCCGGGGCAACCCGAGGGAAAGCGCCACAGAGAAGAAACCGCCCUCGUGCAUCGCGCUGCGAUACGCUGGGGUAAGGCUGAAAAGGUGGGGUAAGAGCCCACCGCGGGUCUGGCAACAGAACCGGCACGGCAAGCCCCACCCGGAGCAAUGCCAAAUAGGAACCUCACGCGGGGGCGACCCCGCAGGGCGGCUUUGGCCCUGAAGGUUCGGGUUGGCAGCUAGAGCCUGUUGGCAACGACAGGCCCAGAGGAAUGAUCAUCCAAGGGGGCAACCCCGGGACAGAAUCCGGCUUACAGGCCAUCCGUGCAU